AAAGAGACUGUUCGUUCGAGCGCGUUGCGGCACAAGCUCAAUUAAAGGUGAUCGAUGUCUUGAAUCGCUAAGGUAUGGGAGAUGGUGGUGAUUGAGCGACUAACUAGAAAUGCUACCCAGGAGAGUAGGGGGGAUGUGGGCAGAAUAGGAGUAUAGCCAGGGAGGGUAAGUGGGUUAGAGGGUUCCUGCAGGGCAAGGAUGUCGGGCCCCGUUGCGCAGAACAGCCGUUGGUGGACCAUGACGCUUCUGGCGAAAGCCCCGGCAGUUCCACUGCCAGAGUGUAAGAUUACAGUUUGGAGCUGCCAUCAUGAGAGUGGACAGGAGGGGAAGGAAUAACGGGGGAGUGGGAGUCGUGAGCUAUGGCAGGCAUAGGGUUGUCCUUUCCUUCUGUUGCUUUAGCCUUCUUACGUCUAUUUGGGGUGGAGUCCCGCUUCAGGAGGGCGGUUGAGUAAGAAUUGAGCCGGCACUCAAGAUCGCUACGACGGUCAGAGAAUCCUUGGGUUAGCACAUCUAAUCGUUGGUUAAAAGCAGUAUUGUCUUGUGUUAUGUGGAUUAUCACGUUUCUGAGGGUUGCACAUUCCUGGUUGAUGUGAGUAAUAGUGUCCUGCAAUUUUGCCUCAAAGCAAGCAGCGAAGGACUGAAGCAGGGUUGGAAUGCCGUCUUGUGAGGUAGUGGUGAAGGGAGUGGGUGGUGUGCAUGGGGUUGAAUUUGCAGAGGGUUCCAUGUCAGCCUCCAUUGCUAGCAAAUCAGGAGAUGAAGUAGGGUUGGAGGUGGGAGGCUGGGAUGUGGCAGGAGCGGUUGCCAGUGGAAUGGGAGAUCCAGACGCAAGAGCACUUAUCUGGGUUUCCAGUUUGGCUAUAUGUUGAAGGGCGGCGUCUUCCUUCCAUGCCGCUGUAGCUUCUGCUUUGGCCGCCGCUGCCUCCUCCUGGGAUUUUGCAAGGGCGUGUUGUAGAUUGGGAGUUGCUGUCAUGGAUGGCAUGUGCUGGUAAGAAGAGAGGGGAGUGUCUCAGGCUUGCUUCCACGGCGCUGCCCAGGCUUGCUUGUGUUGGUUGGGCGACAACAGGGGAAAAUUGUCCCCGGAUGUGACCAAUUCUUGAUGCUGCGUUUGUGGGUUGCUCGGUUGUUUCGUUGUUUCCAUGUCUGGUGACGGUUUCGUCCCUUGCACGAUCCCGUGCCAGUAAGGUGAGGGCCCUCGCACAGAAUGCACUUAGGUGUGCAAGGAGGUUCUUGUUGAGGAUGUUGUGCUCCACAGUGGGGACAAAGAUUGGUCUUGGGGCUUGGGCAAGCGUCAUGACGGUGACCUGGUUGUCCGCAAUUUGUACAGGCAUCCGGACUGCCGCGGUAUCGGGUGCAGCGGUGGAUGGCGCCCAUCUAUUUAAUGGAGUUCGGGACUGCGCUUGCGUCGAAGGUGAUUAGGAUGGAGUGCGUCUUUCCCAUGCGUCUGGCUGCUAAUAUGGUGUGCUCUGGAUUUCUUCUGACCAGGUCUUGGUAGAGUUGCGUUGGGAUCUCGUCGUCAUAGGCGUUUGUGAGGACUCUUCUGGUAGCCCCCGGUGGAGGUGCCAUGCAAGCUGCGCGCGGGUAGGUUCGGUCGAUCUCCAAUGGUGGGGGAGGUCGGCGUCUUCAGAGUCUCGGCUGUUGGGAAAUUUGUUGUUGCCAUGGUGAAAGUAUUGUUGGUCGGGUGGAUGCGUAAGCAGAAGUCGUCCGGUAGAGUGAUUUGCUGGAGCUGGGUCUGCACUGCCUUCCUGAGUCGAGGUGUUGGGAUGUCUAGAGUCGCACUUCACCUCGCGGGUGAACGACCAUUCUAAUAGCGUUGGGCGGGAGCGGCGGCAGUUGCUUCCUGCGUUACACUGUGAGGCGAACCUCCUUGGUCGCAGGUGGUAGGCGGGCGGGCGUCUUGCCGCUGCUGGUUGCGGCUGCUGCGUCGCGCGCCGCGUUCCUGGCGUUCGGGUUGGCUGCCUCGGAGUUAGCGUUGUCGGAGCGUUGAGGUGGUUUCGGCCAUCCAGUAGGUCGUGGUUUCGGCGAACUGGCUGGUCGAGGGGUAUAGGCUAUAUAUAGAACACUGGAGCUCUUGUUCGGUUACGGUGUUGCCUUCAACCGUUACUUCCCUGUUAACGGCUGGCGUCGCCGGCGGAGUGACGGAGUCCGAGUGAGGCUUAGCUAGGCGGCUGAGCGUCUCUCCGGAGCGGGAGCCGCCGGGGUCUCGAGGCCAGCCGUGCCGCUCGCGGUGCCUCGGGGGUCCCUGGCUGGGAGCGGCGGUUCGGGCCGAAGUAUGUGCCGUGGAGCAGUGGUUAGGCACGUCUGACCUCGACGAGCGCGCGUGGUGUUCCAGGUGGCACCGGAGUUGGGCCGAAGCUGAAGCUUCCUCUUAAAUUGGCGCGCCAGCAUACAGACGGCAGUCCGUCCAGGCAGCCUACCAAACACAGCAGGAUCUGCAGCAGUCACUUUGUAAAUGGCGAGAAGUCGGACGAUCAGAGAAGCCCUGUCUAUCUACCAACCUUGCUUCCAUUUGUGUACAGGUCCACUAAUGUUGCUACUGCACACAGGUAUGAAAGGCUCCGGUCACGUGAGCAGCACAAACAACCCACAUGGCGCUGUGUGUUGCCAGUUCCUGACGACCAAGAAUGCGGUGCUGCGACUACAGAGCACACAAGUGUAGGAACGCAGACAGACCCUUGCACAUGGUUCUCGGAGGUGGACAUAUGCCAAGCCUGUUCUCUUGUUGUUUAAAGGAAUGUGAAGCUGAGACGCAGGUUGUUGUGCCCUGCAAGAAAUAAAGCAAGGGUGCAUCAUGGGGAACAUCCUACGAGUCAAGGAUGCCGCAUGUGACGCUGUGAACAUCGAACACACUAUCUCGACCCCAGGCUUCCACAGUUGCGCCAGUGUGUCAUCCUGCCCCAGUGAAAAAGCUUCUGGCAUUCUGAAGGGUAUUACUGGGGUUUCACAGAGUGUUUUUACAAAGUCUAGCUCAGGCGCUCAAUGUUAAGGGGAAAGAGGAAACCACAAAUGCUUCAAAGAAAUUGCUCAUCUUUUUGAUCAAACUAAAACUAAACUUGUCGUACUCAUCCUUGGCAGCGUUUUUUUGUUUCCACAGAACCACAGGUUCAAGACAUUUUUUGCUGAUCAUUGCCAUUCUCCAUGCAAAAAUUUAAUACUGUUUUUACUGGUCGUCAGGGUCAACCACACAGCUGAUGAUGCCUUACUGCUUCAAGCCCGACUAUGUAAACUGCAGCGUUGUCAUUGACAAGGACGCACGGUCCAUGAGAAAGUGCUCACGUAUUCCAGCUACAAAGGAACCUACACUGUGAAAUUCCUUGUAGGAAUAACGUCAAUAAGGCAUCAUAAGGUAUGUGUCAAGGCCUUAUGGUGGCUGUGCCACCGACUCUCUCAUCACAUCUGACUGUGGCAUAUUGCACAUGCUUGAGCCAGGGGACCUUGUGCUCGCUGACAAGGGCUUUCCUCAAAUCAGGAGGGCUCUUGUGGAGCGAGGAGUUAAAUUUCAGAUGCCAAUCUUUACACGACCAAAUCUGCCUUUCACGCGUGAGGAGGUUCUGAGCACAUAAGGUAUUGUGCAAGAAUACAUGUUGAGCGAUGCAUACAGCGUAUGAAGCUUUUCGGGAUAUUGUCAGAAAGGCAUUCUGCUGAUCUACUUCAUUAGCAAAAUCAUUGACGUGUGCAGUGCUGGCACAUUUGCAGGCUCCAAUUAUGAAAGACAAAGAUUAGUGGGCAUGCAACAAAAUUAUAGUGUCACUUCUCUAAUGGUGCCUUAGCCCAUAUUCGCAAAAUCUUUCUUUACUCAACGCUACAUCUUGUCCCCGCAGAGGAUGAGAAACACUCUACUGCCCCUCACGGUUCCCUAAAUUUCAGAGUUCCAAUAAUCCAGAGGAACGGUGGUUAACCGAGGGGCCCGAUUUUUAUUAGUGACACCAUAAGAAGCCAACAAACACUGACACCAAGGGCAACAUAGGGGAAAUUACUUGUGCUUAAUAAAUGAAAUAAAGAAACGAUUAAUUAAUGAAAAUUAAAAUGGAUGAAUAAACAACUUGCCACAGGUAGGAACUGAACCCACAACCUUCGCAAAAAGUAUUUUAUAUGCUAGGAGGCAUUUCAAUUUAAGAGUGAAUUGUGAGUAAUGGUCUUAAUUGGAUGUCAUACCUAUUUAGACGGGCUUUAGCCUGAUGUGUAUACCUCUGCGAAAACUAAGCUGUACUGAAUAGUUGCAUGUUUGUCACUAGGGCAUCAAGCUGCAAGCUAUAAUAAGCUUCUUUAUCCUAAUUGUUCACUGCUUGUGGGACAUGUGCAGAGAAUGUGGUCCCCAAAUUGAAGUGAUGCAUUAUGUAGCGUAUGCACAUGAGACUAGUUUGUAGCAUUUGUGUUCGAGCCUGCUUAGCUAUCCAUCUUGUGAAUUCGUAAGUUGUUUCACAACUUGUUUUGCUCACUGUGAGUUGGAAUUGUUUUUCGCAGUACUUCUGUAACAGAUUUUAUUGACUUUGCAAAUGUUUGUGAAGACCAUUUGGAAUUUAUGCAGCUGUGCAACAACACUGAACUUCCUUUGUUUCAUCUUCUCGUUAUGCUGCCUUGUUCUUGGUAGUGCACGUAAAUGUGCAUGCAUUUAUACAACUUUGAAAUUUGUGACAAUGCAACACAUAUUAUGAUGUUUGCAUCAAUGUAAAAGUUGACCAACUAGUAAUGUGACAAAGUAUGAUGUGAUGUGCAGCAAGUGAAAAAGAGAAAACAUUUGUUUUGAUCUGAAGGGUGUGUAACCAUUUUUGAUGAAGCUGUGCCCAUUUCUGUAGUAGUAGUUUCUAAUUUUUCCGGCUUUAGUGGUUACUCACUCAUCCUUAAAUGCCAGCAACACAAGCAUGGACUCACUAAUGUCUAGGAUGCUCGCUUGUAGAAGAUGGCCUUCAAUUUCUUGUUCCUUGUAUUCACAGUGUGCUUUUCGCAGCUUGUUUCUCAAGAAAAGGCUCUUGUGCCACUAGAAAGCUUUGUUGGCCUUUAUUUUCAGGUCCGUUUUAGCUGAAUGUCCUCGUGAUCCACAUUGUCACUUACUAUUCCCAAACAGUUCUUAAGGGCUGCUGUGUAACAAGCAUCACCAUCGCCAGCCUAUUUAUGCCCACUGCAGGAUGAAAGCCUCUCCCAGAGAUCUCAGUUCACUCCAGCUUUGCACCAGCUCAUUACAUCUUAGGCCUGCAAAUUUCCCAAUUUUAUUACACCACCUAAUUCUCUGCCCUACUCGACUGCACUUCCCUUCUGUUGGCACCCAUUCUUCGACUCUAACAGACUAUUGGUUACCCGCCUUAUGCAUUACGUGUCCUGCCCAGCUCCCUUUCGUUCCUCUUAAUACCAACUAGACUCGGCUACCCUCGGUUGCUCUCGAAUAUGCACAUCAGCUUUUUUGUCUCAUUAACAUUACGCCUAUGGGUAAUGUUCCACUACCAUUUAGUUUCUAUAUGGUAAUGAAACUAUAGAACAUAUACAGUUCUAUAGUUUCUGUACCAGUAGAAUGCAGUAAUUGACAAUUGACAAGAACUUAAUUGAAGUGGCCUGAGAAACAUGACUUCGGCUCCCCAAUCAAGUUGGUGGUUCCGCCCACAACGGGACCAGGAGUUGGUGACUCUCUGUGAUGUCGCAGGCCCUCUGGACGGACUGUAGUUGAUGUGUGAAUUCCGAGCUCUUCAGCAAGAUGUCCCACUUGGACUUCUAUAUAAGUUUGGAGCCCACAUUAUACAGGCAUAGCCAGAGCAUGUGGUGGAAGGAGCAGCAUGCAUGACCACAUUUGAAGCACGACUGCAGGAAGUUGGGGCCUAUCCAACUCAGUGCUCUGGGGGUGAGGUACGAUCUCAUCUGUAAGAGCCUGAAAGUAACGGCAUGAGCCCUAUUCAGUUUCGGUGAUUGUGCACUUUUCGAUUGAAGGGCAGUGGUAAACUGCUAAGUGCUGAUUUGGUAAUGCCUGCCAUAUGUGCCGCGACCUCUUUUUUCUUUUUCUGCAGGUAAGGUAUUAAUUGUGUUCUUACCUUACUUUUUUCCUCACCCUACAAUAUUAAUUUUGUAAAUUUCAAUUUUCGAAUUGGUAAUUCCCUUGUCCUUAUCCAUUUCUUUAUAACCACCCAAUUCAUGGCAGCCAGUCUCCCACUGUGGGUAUGGGUCGCAACACUCAGGUGAACAGCAGGAACAACAAUCCGUAGACAGGAUUUUCAAAAUGACUUACCGAGGCUAACAGACGAACAUGCUCUGAUGCUGGAACUUCGAGACAGGGUGCAAACAUAUCGUGCACCCCAUUUCAAACACCAUACAGCUGACACAGGUCAUUUUCUGGCCGUUGUCCUGCUAAAUGGAAGAACCACAAAAUAUAUAUAUAUAUAUUUUUUAUAUAUAUAUUUUGUGUGAAUUUUUUUCAAAUUCAAUAUCAGUUUAUUCAAACGACUAAUAAGAAGUACAAGUGAAUCAUCUGGGCCCCUAGCCUUCUCGGCUAGACUUGGGCCCAUGCAGGAAGUGCGAAAAAAUAAUUGCUGUAAAUACUUGCUUAAAAUGAGCUUCAAAAUCUUUCGCACCUCUUUUGACUGAAGCUUCUCGUCUUCUAGUUGAUGCAUUAGUGCUUGAAAAGCACCACAUCGCUUUGCCAGCCUCUGAGCUCUUUUAGAUGCUCAACUUAUGCUUCUAACUUUGUUCUCCCUUGACUCGGUUCUUUUGCAGGUGACAGGACUUACACUCAACAUUUAUCUGCAAGGUCUCUGGUGGUUCCUGCGCCUUGCGUAUAGAAGGCUCUCACUUGUUUUUUGCAGUAAAGACAGGCAAGAAGAACAAAACAGUGAAUGAAACACUUCAGUUAAUGUAGUGCUUAUCAACAGUUAACAAUGCAUUGACUUCACAAUACAUAAUCAACACUUUGAUUCAGUACUAUCUUUUAAACUUACUUUUGUGCUCUGUGUUUAUUUUGAAUAGGUUGCACCAAGGAAAGUGCUAUAGUCUAUGUUCUGCAGGUUUGCUGUAAAUACUGGAAGCACAAUUAAAAUACACCUAGUUCAUCACCCAAGCGCAUCUAGCCAAUCCAGUCGAAGCAUUUCAAAUCGAAGUGGAUGGAACAAACAAAACCCAGUCAUCUUGGCCAAUCAGCAUGCAUCCAUGCUUCAUGCAGAAUGGUAUCCUUCAAAAACUGAUGGAUAUCGCAAUGUUUACUUGGAGGUAAUUUGAUUUCUACAACCUUAACAUGUAAAGGUGUUCAUAAUUAUUGUGUCAUUCAUUUUUACGUUCGAAGUAUACAACCCAUAUAUUACUGCCCAAGUUGAAGGCAGCAAACCUGAGAAUUCAAGCAUGCAUGUAUUCACAGUAUUUUUAUUGCAGAUAUACGAGAGCAAAUAAAUGCACUUGGUGUGCUUGA